rnacentral:rRNA from 1 species
AACGUAGGUCCCGAGCGUUAUCCGGAUUUACUGGGCGUAAAGCGUGUUCAGGCGGUCUAGCAAGUCGGGCAUGAAAUCUCUCGGCUCAACCGGGAGGGGUUGUCCGAUACUGCUGGGCUUGAGGGCAGCAGAGGGUGGUGGAAUUCCGGGUGUAGUGGUGAAAUGCGUAGAUAUCCGGAGGAACACCAGUGGCGAAGGCGGCCACCUGGGCUGUAACUGACGCUGAGGAGCGAAAGCAUGGGGAGCGAACAGG